CACAUUGUUAAGCUGUGGAUUUGUCUUUAAUAAUGACUUAGAAUAAACAUUUUUCUUCAUUCAUUGCUUUACAUAUUAGACAUUUCUCAUUGUAAGCAGAUUCAAAUUAGAUAAUAAAACAUUUUUUAAAUCACAGAAGCCAAUUACAUUUCAUUACUCUGAAUGGCUUCACUCUGGGUUUUUUUUUUUCAGUAUUAGAGAUUAUAGUUAAAAUAAAUUUACAUUGUUAAGGAAAAGGCAUACAUUUAUUAAUAGCUAGUAGUUAUAGAAACAGUGCUUUUACCAAUGUGACCUCUCCCCAAAACAGAAACAUAUAGUAGUCCCAGACCACAUAUGUCUUAUGUUCCAAAGUGUUUUAGACAACUUUUGGGAGUUAGGAUACAUUUUCUCACAGAAACAGCAGUAAUUGGGUUCCCUAUGCACACUACCACUAAAAGCUCACAUUGGAACCUAAUCCACUUAACUAUGGAUGUACUUAACUUACAAUAUGGUUGAUAAUUUUUCAUCAUAGACCCUGACGAAUAUUUAAUAACAUCACUCUAAGGAGAUUGUGUGCAGCAGCGAAACUGACACAUGGGGGUGCCUGCCUGCGCUGUAUACCUCUGUCCCUAGGUGUAGGAAAUAGAAGAAGAGAUUCAGCAGAGGGAAAGAGGACGUAACAAAUAUACAAUUAGAAAACCUGCUUAUAUCUAUUAUGAAAGUAUACUUAGGUUUUGUUGUUGCAAAUGUGAAAGCAAAAACUUCUAUGUUAAUUUAUUUUCCAUAUCUUGACCUUAUUUAUAAUCUGCUAAAGUGGUGAUUUACCCAUUCAAUAUAUAUAUAUAUAUAUUUUCCAUUUAAAACUAAUUUAUAAACUAUGUAAUUGUGGGAAGAUUUGAAAUCUUUUAGAAGUUUGUUGGAAUAUUUUCACCAUUAAAGACAGACUUCUGACUUAGAUACUGAUUUUAAUGCCAGUAUCUGCUCUAAAUAUUUAUGAUAAAAAUGCAUUAUUUUUUUAAAGAGCUUGAUGAGAUUUGUGAUAAGUAAUAGUACUCAAGAGUCUGAAUCCCACUCCUUGAUCAAUCCUCCACAUAUUUCAGUUGGGUAGCUCCCUAACUGAACAUAAACAGUAGUCUCUUCUAGAAGUCAUGUUCUCAGCCUUAUGAUAGUUAACUUAGGCCUUAGCAGUUAAUAGUCUUCCUUCUUAAAAGGUAGACUAAAUUUUCACAGAAAAUGGGGUUAGGUUGGGGGUACUACAAUACCAAAUUCUUAAAUCAUGAGCAUUUUCUUCACUGUGUACCUGAGGGAAAUCAUGCAGCUGAGUUGGUUUGGCCUGGUCCCUCAAGAGAAAAGCAUGUCACCAUAUUUGAAUGAGGGGUACUGUGCUUUGAAUGGAUACUAUCACUCUUUUCUCCAUGAACAGUGCAGAUUGCUGUCUGGAGCGCCAGUUUGAACAGAUUCCCUGGUGCUCCCUCUGCUCCUUCCAUCACUACAGCAAGUAAAAGAACCAUAUUGAGGAACUGGGAGUCUGAGAAAAUGAGUUGUGCUCAAUACCAACCUCCCUAUGAGGAAAACCGUUCCAUAUGCAGCUAUUUUGGUACCUUUUCCACAUGUACUCUGAAUCAGGGUUUUUCUAUUAGAAAUCCUUCGGAAUCAGCAAAAGCUGGGAUGACCCAGUCACCUUGAUUUGCAAAUUAAAAGAACAAACCUAGGUUAUCAGUUUUCACUGUAAAGGAGAAGCUCAUCUCUUCACAGUAUAGUGUUGAACUGGUUCUGACACCUCUUUAGAGAGAAAAAUUCCAAGAGUAAAAGUUAAUUUUAGGGAAAGGUAGAUGGUUCUUUCUGAAUUUUUCAUUCUAAAAAUUUAUAUAAUAUGGAAUAACAUAAAGCUACUAAACUGCUUUGUAUGCUAUUAAGAAAUAGCUCCUCAAAAUGUAGUCAUGUUUCACAGAAGUUGCACUAUGUCAAAGCUUUUUAAAGUGUACUCCCAGUUCUCCUCUGUAUGGAAAAGGAACAUUGUGUUACUUAAUGAAUUUAUUUAUACAGAGAAUUUGUUGACAACUCUUAAUUCCAGCCAUCCACACUGUUGUGAGGUGGCAGUAGCACAUGGGAAGAUGAACUCUCCCUGUUUGUUUAUCCUUUUUUCUUUGGCUGUAUCUGAUGACAGUAUAAAUGUUCUUAAUAAAGUUCUAUGUUCUUUUUGAAG
ensembl:lncRNA